UACGAAGGGGGCGAGCGUUGUUCGGAAUUACUGGGCGUAAAGGGCGUGUAGGCGGCCCCUUUUGUCGCGUGUGAAAGCCCCGGGCUCAACCUGGGAACGGCGCGCGAAACGGGGGGGCUUGAGUUCGGGAGAGGAGCGUGGAAUUCCCGAGUGUAGAGGUGAAAUUCGUAGAUAUUGGGAAGAACACCAGGUGGCGAAAGGCGGA
rnacentral:rRNA from 1 species